GACGAACGCUGGCGGCGUGCUUAACACAUGCAAGUCGAACGGAAAGGCCCCUUUGGGGUUCCUGAGGGGUGAACGGGUGAGUAACACGUGACUAACCUGUCCCUGACCUCGGGGUAACUUCAGGCAACGGGGGCCAAUACCGGAUAGGAAAUCUUAGUGUACAGUGGGGGGUUGAAAGGUUCGUGGGGUUUGGAGGGACUCGUGGCUUAUCAGCUUGUUGGCGGGGGCGUGGCUUACCAAGGCCUGGGCGGGUAGCCGGCCUGAGAGGGCGACCGGCCACAUUGAGACUGAGAGGCGGCCCAGGCGCCGACGGGAGGCAGCAGGGGGGAAUAUUGCACAAGGGGCGCAGGCCUAAUGCAGCAACGCCGCGGGCGGGAUAACGGCCUUCGGGUUGUAAACCGCUUUCAUCAGGGGCGAAGCUUGUGGUGACGGUACCUGCAGAAGAAGCACCGGCUAACUACGUG
rnacentral:rRNA from 1 species